rnacentral:rRNA from 1 species
UACGGGGGGAGCAAGCGUUGUUCGGAUUUACUGGGCGUAAAGGGCGCGUAGGCGGCGCAACAAGUCACUUGUGAAAUCUCCGGGCUUAACCCGGAGCGGCCAAGUGAUACUGUCGUGCUAGAGUGCGGAAGGGGCUACUGGAAUUCUCGGUGUAGCGGUGAAAUGCGUAGAUAUCGAGAGGAACACCGGUGGCGAAGGCGGGUCUCUGGGCCGAUACUGACGCUGAGGAGCGAAAGCGUGGGGAGCGAACAGG